GCUACCCGAGACAGGACGGAAAGACCCCGCGGAGCUUUACUGUAGCCUGAUAUUGAAAUUCGGCACAGCUUGUACAGGAUAGGUAGGAGCCAUUGAAACGUGAGCGCUAGCUUACGUGGAGGCGUUGGUGGGAUACUACCCUAGCUGUGUUGGCUUUCUAACCCGCACCACUUAUCGUGGUGGGAGACAGUGUCAGGCGGGCAGUUUGACUGGGGCGGUCGCCUCCUAAAAGGUAACGGAGGCGCUCAAAGGUUCCCUCAGAAUGGUUGGAAAUCAUUCAUAGAGUGUAAAGGCAUAA
rnacentral:rRNA from 1 species